UCCAGACUCCUACGGGAGGCAGCAGUGGGGAAUAUUGGGCAAUGGAGGAAACUCUUACCCAGCAAUGCCGCGUGAAUGAAGAAGGUCUUCGGAUUGUAAAGUUCUUUAAUUGGGGACGAAAAAAAUGACGGUACCCAAGGAAUAAGCCCCGGCUAACUACGUGCCAGCAGCCGCGGUAAUACGUAGGGGGCAAGCGUUAUCCGGAUUUACUGGGUGUAAAGGGAGCGUAGGCGGUUAGAUAAGUCUGAUGUGAAAGCCCACAGCUUAACUGUGGGAUUGCAUUGGAAACUAUAGAACUAGAGUGUCGGAGAGGUAAGUGGAAUUCCUAGUGUAGCGGUGAAAUGCGUAGAUAUUAGGAGGAGCACCAGUGGCGAAGGCGGCUUACUGGACGAUGACUGACGCUGAGGCUCGAAAGCGUGGGGAGCAAACAGGAUUAGAUACACCUGUAU
rnacentral:rRNA from 1 species